UUUUGUUUUUUUUUUGUUUAUGUCGUUGGUGUGUCCGCUUAAAUUUAUUUCUCGCCUAGAUUUUUGUUUAUCUUCCAGGUGCACUCGAUGAUGCUGCCAUUACAGAGUCAUUAGAACUACACAAAAUUAAGAGCCGCCAAUGGGCGAUUUUCAAAACAUCUGCAAUAAAGGGAGAGGGGCUCUUCGAAGGUUUGGACUGGCUCAGUAACACGCUCAAAUCUAGAAGCAGCUAAGGAGCCUCCGCCUGGUCAUGAAUCAUUUGCUGGAGGCUAAAGAAUAGCCGAUGCUUGCAAGUCAGCGCGCAAAUCCCAUUCUCUUUGUUUUAACUCCAGAAGUUCUACACCGCCAUCAAUUAUCUGUAAAGUGCGUGUUAAAUUUUUUGGAUACUACAUUAGAUGUACCCCCAGGUUGAGAUCAAGAAUAGGUCUGUGG